rnacentral:tRNA from 9 species
ACCGCCAUUAGCUCAUCGGGAUAGAGCGUCAGCCUUCGAAGCUGGUUGCGCGAGGUUCGAGUCCCCGGUGGUGGUCCAU